AUCCCUCUGCAAUGCGAUCUGCCACCAGAACACCAUGCUAGAAAAUAUUUGAUGGCCCUUUCAAGGUUUUGAAGUUCAUCAAUGACAAUGUGUACAAAAUUGAACUUUCUAAAGAAUAUGGAGUAUCUGCAACAUUCAACAUAGCUGACCUAUUGUCUUAUUUUGAAGACCAGGAAGAUCAAAAUGACCUAGACUCUAUGAUGAGUCUUCUCCAACUGGGCUCACUUGCUAGAUAAGUGGGGUUGAGCUAAAACCGUUCGUGAGAUUGGAUUGCACGGGUUGUGGGACUGUGCAAGGCGCACGUGCCCGCCACAUGGGUCGUGGGUUCCGUAUGCAUGGGUCUCAAAAUCCACAUUGAGUUAUGUUUUGCUAGAAAUAUUAGUUAAUUAUGGGGAGUUUUGAUUUUUGUGAACUUUCUUUUUGAGAACUUCUGAUAUUAUUAGGAAAGUUGGAAGUUAGGGUUCUGCGAGUUUAAAUAGAAUUUGGAAUUCUAUAUUGAAAAGUUGAAGAAAUGAGUCUCCUUGUACAACUUAUAAAUACUUCCAUUGAGGCUUCUCUUGCAAUCAUGCUAGAGAAACUUGAGUUAUUGAUUAGUAAGAAUUAUUCUUGCCUUAUCUCUGUUCUCUCUCUCCUCUCUUUUGGUGGAUUUUUAGGAUUUGUGAGUGAGCAUGUGAGAGUUGUAUCCUUAGAGUGGCAAGCCAAGGUGAUAUUUUUUAGCCUUGGAAGAGAGUGACCCGCCCUGCUCCUUUUUCAACUACUAUUCGUCCGUUCUAAUACCUUACGUUGUACGUGCUAUAGUGAGGUUUCUACCUUGCCACAAUCGGUUGCAUCAAUAUAUCUUUCCUUCUUCGUGUUUUCAACCUAAGUUCAACACCUUCCAGCAUCAACAUCUUAAUUUAAAUUUUGUUUUACUUUUGAAUUUAUACAAUUAUGUAAUCAAACGCAAAAGGUACACUCUAGUGCAAUUUCCACGUGCAAUACAAUCAUGAUAUAGAUAAUCUAGAGUAUGGAGGAUAAAAUUAUUGGCAGUAGUUAUGUAGUUGUCAACAACACACCUAAGAUAUGCGGGAAACAAUUGACUAUACCAUAGUUUGUCGUCUUGGUAUCGAACCCCGUAUCGGUACCAUCUUAUUAUAGUGCCAGUACUCUCAAUAUGGUAUUCAGUUCGGCAUAUCGAGUGUCGGUAUGCCCUUUGUACCGUAUAGCGGUUCGGUAUUGAUACGAUAUGUCAGUAUAUACCGGUACCAACCGGUACGUUCACACUUAUGCUUGUUAUGAUCCAUUAUAUAUUUUUAUAAUUAGCUUAAUGUGGAAAUACAGAUCCUCUUUUCUUCUCUUUUGUACUGUUUUUAGCCUUUAUAGAAUUGCAUAUCCAGGUGUAUGUCAUCAACAUUGCUGAAGGUUGCUAGAGAACAUUCUUUGGUUGUUGCAAUCGUUGGCAAAGGGCAUUUGUCUGGGAUAAAGCAGCACUGGAAGCAGCCUAUUGAGGUUAGAACCAUUUUUGUAAUGGAUAUUCGUGCUGAUUUGUUUGUGAAUUUGAUUCAUAAUAUUGCUAGAAUGGUUGCCACGAGAGAUUCUAGCUUUUCAUGAAAGGUAGGUUGAGUCUGGAGAGCUCUAUCGUUGCUGAACUGUCUCAAGAUAUGUGAAAGCUAUAAUGAGAUCACAUUCUGUGUGUAAUGCAUGUUAGCAGUAUUUUUAGUUUGAUAAUAUUUUUUAUAUUUUAGAAAGCAUUAUGAAAUUACUAAAGUCCUUAAAGAUCGUUACUGAAAACAUAUUAUUGCCAAGUAGUGGUGAUCUUGUAGUUCAAAAGAUACAUUUACUUCAAUUUUCUACUCGGAGAAUCCAUUCUAGGAGGUUGUAUUGGUAACUAGUGUUGGUUUUUUUCAGUUCAGGUUGAUUUUUUCGGAACGUGUGGAAUAGGCAACAAUUGGUUGUCAUCUCUCAUAAAUCAAUAACUUCAUUGUUAGGCAUUGUCUGCAUGCUAUAUCAUUAGGCAUUGUCUGCAUGGUAAUUGAUUCUAUU
rnacentral:lncRNA from 1 species